AGUGAACGCUGGCGGUAGGCCUAACACAUGCAAGUCGAACGGCAGCACAGUAAGAGCUUUCUCUUACGGGUGGCGAGUGGCGGACGGGUGAGGAAUACAUCGGAAUCUACUUUUUCGUGGUGGAUAACGUAGGUAAACUUACGCUAAUACCGCAUACGACCUACGGGUGAAAGCAGGCGAUCUUCGGACCUUGCGCGAUUGAAUGAGCCGACUUCGGAUUAGCUAGUUGGCGGGGUAAAGGCCCACCAAGGCGACGAACCGUAGCUGGUCUGAAAGGAUGAACACACACACUGCAUCUGAGAUACGGUCCGCAGUCCUACGGCAGGCACCAGUGGGGAAUAUUGGACAAUGGGCGAAAGCCGGAUCGAGCCCUACCGACUGACUGAAGAAGACCCUCUGAUCGUAAAGACCUUUUGUUGGGAAAAAAAAGCAGGAGGCUAAUACCCCGCUGUUAUGACGGUACCCACCGAAUAAGCCACGGCUAACUUCGUG
rnacentral:rRNA from 1 species